CUUUCUACAGGGCCCAGAAUUUUGUGCUCUGCCCCUGGCCAGACCCUCCUCUGCAGCGCCGUGGAGGAAGGUCUGGCAAAGCGAGACAAUGCCUGAGCAAGCACAGCCCGCCCUACGGCUUGUUUGAAUUAAGUUGACCAAUCGCAACAGAGUGGGUCAGCUGACCAAUCAGAGAAGACUGGGCUUUUCAGGAAGGUGGGCCAAAGUGCUCAGACAGAGCGUUUCAGGCAGAGGAGCUGCAGCAAUGGACAGUAUGAGAAAAGAUAAUAUGUUUUUUAAACAUCAAAUCAUGUAAACCUAUUCCAGUAGACCCCAAGAGUACAAAAAUGAUGCUAAAAAGGAGAAUAAUAGGGGCUCUUUAAAAUAGUGUGGUGCUGCUCCAUAAUCGAGGGCAACAAUACAAACUAAUAGAGUAGAUAUAUUUGGAAUAGAGGUUCACAACCGCCAAAGUCCUUAAUGAAUGUUACUAAGAGCCCAACACGGUUUUCUACUUAUUUUCUAUUUCUAUCCGAGGGGACAUUGUACAGGUCUUUGUCCACUGGACAGAGAGGUAGUGGAGCUGCAGAUUGGUGCACAGUUACUCUAAAUGAUGUCAUUGGGAUUUGCCCAAAAUUCAAGUCACAUUGCUAGCAUUGAGGACACUUAAACUGCCACAUAAAUAUUUGCAGUAAUAACAGCUUUGAAGAGUGUUGUAGUAAUUACCAUAAUAAAAGGAACCAGUAACCGUAUACCUUCAACAUAAGCUGAUAAGCCAUAUCAAACACUGGCAGGGUAUUUUUCUCUGCACUUGCCUUCUCCCCAGGUCCUCUCUUAUAGCGCUAACAGUGUUUCAGAAUUGACAUAAAACUGGCCGUGUUAUGUCACAUUGCGUUGGGAAGUCUAACCAAUACAGAUGUUUCAGUGCGGUCUGAAACUGUGGCCAUUUUAGUGAAGGGCAGCAUCAUUCAAAAACACCUCAGUUGGGGUGAGCCGCUGGGUGAUGGUUGAUCAAAUGUCUGCUGACUGAGAGAGGUCCCCCCCACCCCACCCCACCCACCCAAAGGAACACAAUGCAUUCCAUAAAACACCUCCCCACACACAUCCCUCUGAAAGUCAACUCCUGAAACAUAACUUGUACUAAUCUGUGUGGACAGAUUAAUCUGUUGGGGUCAUCCCAAACAUGUUGUGAACGCACUAAAGAUUAGAGAUGACACGGUUCUCCACACGCCACAUUCCUAAUUCUUAAAUCGGAUGCCAUUUGUUUUUUUUGAGUCAGAUAAAAUGAUGAAGGCUGAUGUCCCUUUUGUGCUGAACACAGUUUCGGUCAAGGUUGGGACAAAACAAAAACAAAAGGCCCGUUUCAAAAGCACAAGAAAGAGCUGAUGGCAGUGUGAGGAGAACGUGAUGGUCGGUUCACGCAAUUAAAGACGCACAUUUCUUUACAGUUUACAUGCUGGAGGAUGCCGAGCUGGAGGAUAAACCGGGUCACGGGGAUCUAUUUCUUUAGGCUAUACAUUAAAGAUGUUGCCAUAAUGUUGGCUUUACUGUGCAUUUUGAGUGUAAUGUCAUCACGUUAGUUUCAUUUUUUUCUUUUUACAAAUUGUGGGAUCACCUUUUGUUUACAGAUUCACAAGAGGUUCAGUUUUUGUAACUCUGCUAAAGAUAGGUCUCGUGGUUGCUUAAAAGAAAAUCAGCGAUUUGGAUUUUCCUUCUUCAGACAGCCGUGAAGGGGCUGAAUCUGCACAAGGAGUUCAAAGUCUGAUCCAACGUGAACGCCUGUCUUUAUUCAAACAUCUGUGUCUUCCAGUUGAUGCUUUUAGCACUGACUGAAGGUCUGCCAUUGCUUCCCUUUGGAAACUGUCAUUUGUAGUUUUUAAAGGUCACACAUUUUAAAUUAUUAAAUACCAGCAGGUGUUUGGACCGAGAUGGAGAGGCUGCUGAGUUGGCCACCAUCCCUUUUUGCAGAAUUUAUUCAUCUUGAAAAGGAUAGGUUCCCCCGAGGCGCAGGGUCUGGAAGGCCGUCGUGCCCUUUGGUAUGGAUUCAAUUAGGGCUGCCACUAACGAUUCAUUUCAUCAUCAAUUAACUGCUUAAUUGAAUUAGUUAUUUACCGUUUCAUCUAUAAAAUGUCAGAAAAUAGUGAAAAAAUACCCGUGCUCUUAUUUUGAUAGCUGGUUUUGUUCAACUAUUUUCGGACAUUUUAUAGACAAAACGGUUAAUCAUGGAUUUAAUUGACAGAUUAAUUGAUAAUGAACAAAAUCGUGUAACAGUCCAAAACCCAAAGAUGUUCAGUUUACUAUCAUCCAUGGCAAAGAAACGCAUCCUGACAUUUAAUGUUUGUCAUUUUUACCUGAAAAUUGACUAAAACAAUGAAUUGUCAGGAAAAGUUCCAGAUUAAUUUUCUGCCACUCGAAUAAUCGUUUAAAUGAGUUGCUUAUGGGUUCUUAUGCAGCCAGAGCGAUAGUAACAAUUGAACCUACUAGUCCUUAAUUCCCUACACUAUUAAUGUUAAGCUGUUGGGCAAAGUAAAGCAUUUAAAUGUAUAACUAGGCCUUUAAAUAUUCAACAAUCAGCCCACGAUUCAAAGCUGCGCCAUUAGCCUGAAACCAUAUCAGCUGAUCCCCUAAUGCAUUAUCUAUGCCAGAUUAAUCUUAGCACAAGUGAUUACAGGGUUUGGACUCCUGUACCCACAAUGCCUCUGAUGUAUCUGUGUUUUACAACAGUCACUGACCCAUAGACCAAACAGCAGUCAGGGAGGAGGAGCUGAAGCAAAAGCAAGCUGACUUGACUAGAAAAACUUUUUCCAUGACUUGCCUGCUGCCAAAUACGCAGUACAGUCCUCACACAUGACUGACCAUAAAAAGGGAUGUGGGGACAGGAGGCUUGGCCAAGGCUUGGUAGUGUGCGUUUGAAGGUGGGAAGCAUCAGAAAGUCAGGUCUUUGUCUCCCAGCGAGGAGAAGCACUGCUCCACGGCCUGCUCAGACACCUCCUCCAGUGUCGACGGCUUCCACUUGGGAUUCUGGUCCUUGUCAACCAGCACUGGAAACAUGCAGAAAAACCACGACGCAGAAAGGGGGAUCAGAUGAUGUGACUGACAUGAUGCCGAGCAAAGAAAACUAGUAUUUAUAUGAUCCAUUAAAUAACAUUUAGAAUCAA